AUUGAACGCUUGCGGCAGGCCUAACACAUGCAAGUCGAGCGAUCGGCGGCCCGGUGAGUACUGUCUGGGAAACUUCCCGAUGGAGGGGGAUAACUACUGGAAACGGUAGCUAAUACCGCAUACUAUCAGAUUCCCCCAUAUGGGAUUAGCUAGUAGGUGUGGUAAAGGCUCACCUAGGCGACGAUCCCUAGCUGGUCUGAGAGGAUGACCAGCCACACUGGAACUGAGACACGGUCCAGACUCCUACGGUAGGCAGCAGUGGGGAAUAUUGCACAAUGGGCGCAAGCCUGAUGCAGCCAUGCCGCGUGUAUGAAGAAGGCCUUAGGGUUGUAAAGUACUUUCAGCGGGGAGGCGUUACCCGCAGAAGAAGCACCGGCUAACUCCGUGCCAGCAGCCGCGGUAAUGC
rnacentral:rRNA from 1 species